UAAACACCUAGACCUUGGCGCUACCAAAGAGAGAGAGAUAUUUUGUACAAUUGUACUUCGUUGCCGUCAGUUCAAUCUCCGGUUGAAUCGGCGAGUGAGAAUCCUCAAGUAACCGGAGAAAAUGGCGGAUAGGGUUCCGACUGGGAGACCGAAGCGUUUACAAGCUGGUAUUAUUUCGAAAAUUCGAUUGGAAAAUUUCAUGUGCCAUAGUAAUCUCGAGAUUGAUUUCGGUGAUUGGGUUAAUUUCAUUACUGGACAG
rnacentral:misc_RNA from 1 species